UAAAAAUGUAUUAAAAUUUGUACGAAAUAAGCCUUAAAAUAAUGUCCGUGUCUUUUUGUUGCGAAGAGUUCACAACAGUUAUAAUAGUUUGAUUAAUAGAUCGAAAUGAGAAGUCAUUAUUUUGGGCGAAAUAUGCCAGAUCAAUAUUAAUAAGAAGAUGAAAGUGAAGGAAAAGUGGGAACUGGUGAUUCAGUCCAAGAGAUGUAAAAAUGUCUGCGAACGGGACACCGACAUCAACAGUGUUCACGAAAGGCAUGUGAUAUCAACAGCUGUGGAAGACCACAUCACUACCUAUUGCAUAAAGAUCCAAAACAAGUGGACAAUGGCAACCUGAACCCUGAUGCACAACCAUUCAAACCAGAUUAAGAGGGUGCUACAGGCAAGGGAAAGUACAACCAGG